AUGUGGAUCAAUUGGGCGAAAGCCUGUAGACCCAUAGAAGAGAAUGGGCUGGGAAUUAAGAGCUUGAAGGAUUUUAAUAAUGCGCUAUUAGCUAAAACCGUAUCUCAUAUUUUCUUUGAGUGCCCUAAUUUUGCAAGUAUUUGGAUUCAUGUCAUGAGAUGGCUUGGAGUGCAAUCAGUUUUACCAAUUGGAAGUUGGGAGUAUCUUGAACAGUUCGGUUCGCUAAGUGGCAACAAUAGGAUCUCAAUCCAAAGGGUUAAAACUGUUUGGCUCCUGUCAAAAUUGGCUAUUGCAGCCGAAUCUUUUGUCAUCAUCCCUUUGUUGUGUAUCUUGGAGAUUAGGCAAUGGUCGCGCAGGUUAUGA